GGACUACCGGGGUAUCUAAUCCGUUUUGCUCCCCACGCUUUCGUGCCUCAAUGUCAGAAACAGAAUAGUUAACUGCCUUCGCCAUUAUUGAUGUUCCAAUUCAUAUCGAUGGAUUUUACCCCUCCAUGAACCAUUCCGUCAACCUCUCCUGCUCUCUAGUCUGAUAGUAUUAAUAGUUUCCACGAGGUUGAGCCUCGAUUUACCACCACUAACUUUCCAAACCAUCUACGCACCCUUUACGCCCAGUAAUUCCGGAUAACGUUCGCCACCUACGUCUUACCGCGGCUGCUGGCAC
rnacentral:rRNA from 1 species